UACGGGGGGAGCAAGCGUUGUUCGGAUUUACUGGGCGUAAAGGGCGCGUAGGCGGCUUGUCGCGUCGACUGUGAAAUCCCGCGGCUCAACUGCGGGUCUGCAGUCGAUACGGGCAGGCUAGAGUUCGGUAGGGGAGACUGGAAUUCCUGGUGUAGCGGUGAAAUGCGCAGAUAUCGGGAGGAACACCAAUGGCGAAGGCAGCUCGCUGGGACGUUACUGACGCUGAGACGCGAAAGCGUGGGGAGCAAACAGG
rnacentral:rRNA from 1 species